rnacentral:tRNA from 1 species
ACACUCUUAUUUUAAAGGUAAAAUUUAAGUCUCCAAAACUUUAAGAUAAAGGUUCAAGUCCUUUAGAGUGUG